UCUGAUUGAGGUGUCCAGAAGAUGGCUGACAGCAAUAAUUAUGCCAGUUUAUGACAAUUACACCAUUUCUCUUUUAUUCUUUCAAGCUUUCUAAAGUCAGUGUUAAGCAUAUUCAUCCUUGGGACAUAAUAUUUAAGCCUAGUGUUGUUAGUGGGAAGUUGAGCACAAUUGUUUCUCUUGAUACAGCUUUGAAGGCUUUUAUUCUGGACUCAAAAGUGGAAUCCAGCUUUGUCACAAAUCAGGAGCAGAAAUUUACUCUCCUUCCCUUGUAGGAAAUCUAACCUAUGUGAAACUGCUGAAGACUAAUAAAUGGAGACAGCCUGUGAGCUUGGUCCAAAGCCCUUAACCUCUGGCAGAAAUUUUAUUUCAUAAUGGGACUCAGAGGUGAAAUUACUCUAAUAGGAGGUUCAAAGGUGAAUUAAAAUAGGGAUGUUAAUUUGGAGCGGGUGUAAAUGGAUGAGACUCUUUUGAAAUGGGUGAGACUGUCCUCACUUUCACGAAGUCUGGAUUUGCUCCCUUUUCUCUCCCCAAGCCCGUAGAAAAACAGGUGCUGUGCUCGGCUCAGGCUGUGAGCCUGGCUGUGUGUCCUGAGCCAUCAGACCUGCCCUUACCAUUUCUCUUUACCUAAACAGAAACAAGCCCAGAGGAAUUUAAACCUGCUGCUUUUGUUCUGUUAAUAAAUACCAUCUGCAAACCUGUUUUUCUUGAUCUUUCUGUAGGGGGAGAAAAACAGUAUAUGGACAAGGAACGUUAGAUGAGAGGCUGCAUCCAGUAGACGUUUAUGGAGAUGGAAAAGGGUUAAACUGGCUUGUUUUUGAAAGCAGUGGAGAAAAGGAUCAUGGCAGCAAAAAAAAUACAUUAAAAAUAAAACAAAAACAAAAAACUGGCAGCAAAGAAGUACUUGAGCAAAAGCAUUUCAUGUGAAGAGUCAUGUACACAUAUGGGAUAAAUUACUGAGAAAGGGCAUGGAAACAAAACAUCUUAAAUGUAUAUUUAAAAGUAAAAAAUAAAAGAGCAAGGGGGAGAAGAGACAAGGGAUGUUACUAAAGAAACGCGAUGAGAGAGACAGUGGUGUAGGAGUCAGAAGGAAAUGAUAUCAACAUAACUGCCAGAGAAGGGACUCCUGGAGAAGGUUCUGUUCUGCUUCCCACUCCUCUCGCUUACCAAAUAACUUAGCACCAAGUAGCUUUUCUGCUGAAAGACCCUGGCUGGAUUUGGCAUGGAUGCGUAGUUUGGUGUGCAGUGUGUACACACCUGAGAACAUGGGGAAGAAGCAUGUGGAAAUUGGGCUGUGAAACUACAAAAAGUAAAUAAUCCAGUUUGAUGACUGCAGGGCUGGAAGAAGAAAUAAGAAGAAGGGAACAAAUGCACUUUGAAAAGUCCGCUUGACCACCGCCCAGGAACUCAUACAGGAACCUAAGGUACUUUUUGGCAUGGGUGGUGCAGAAACAAACCUUAUCUGCACCACAAAUGUUAGAGCCAUGCUGGUUAUCUGCAAACACUGUCAAGGACAGCAGUACUCGGAACUGCCUUGGUUCAUAUCUGUCCUGCUCCUCACGUUCCUCCCUAUUUCCAAAUGAAGUCUUUGCCAGGGCAGUGGAAGUAGUAUGGAACGUUGUCCUUGUCUACACUUCUAGCUAAUUCACAUUCAGCACUGGUUCAGCCUCUUCUGUUGCUGACACCUGUUGUCAGCAGUUGGUAAUUUCUUUUUUUAGGACAAGCCUACAUUGCCUGGAGCUUAGAAAGGGCCUUAAAUUAGACUUAAUUCUAUUCAGAUGUAGUUAGCAAUAUUUAAUUAGCCCAGUCCUGAAGCAAAAGUCAGUCUAUUCCUUGGAUCACUAGAGAGCAUUCUGGACACUUUCCAUAUUGCUGCAGGAGCCUGACCUUUAUUUUUCUUUUAUAUCUUUAGCCCAAGAAAUUUACUGGGGCUUUUCAAGCAUUUUCAGAGUAAGGGCCACAUCUUAAUAGACAGAUUCCUUUGCAGAUGGCUUCCUGCUAGUUUGCAAUUGCAAAACUUCACUGAGGCAAUUACCAUAACUGCAGACAUGGGAAUGUGACAUUAGGAAAGCAUUUAAUGUAUUCUCAGCAUCUGUUACAGUACUGCUGCAAAUGGAAACCAUGGGGAGAUGCCAGCACUAUGGGUAGGACUCAUCUUUCUUAACUUUGAUGGACUGGAAAUUUGCACCCAGACAGAACUAGGUGUAUAGGUGCUCUCUGUAGACUGUGAGGAGACACAGGGCUGUCCAGAGGGUGAUUCAUCACCCAAGUUGGUGUCAGAGGUAAGAGGGAUUCCUUGCCCUCCAACGGAGCUCCGUUUUUGUGGAGGCGGGUGACUGACACUAGCAAUUCCAAAUUAGGCAGCUAAUAUUAAGUGGUUUGUGACCAUUAUCAUUUUCACAGACCACCAGGAACUGCUGCAGAAGUGAUGAGCCAAUGCUAAUGGCACCUCCACGGGGUGUUAACUGACAGUGUUUGGGAUCUUUCACUUACCAGAAAAGUUCAGCUUAUUCCCAGAAAAUAAUGAAGGAGCUGGCAAGAUGAGACUUCAAAGGAAUAAAAAUAAAAAUAUAGAAAUAAUAAUAACAAUAAUAAUAAAGAGCGGUGUAUCAGCAAGAAGGGAUAAACCCCAUUCUUUGGAUUAAAAGCCUUGACUGUGUAAAACAAAUAGAAAAGGAACAAUUCUGUUUAACUUUUCUGAUUCCUCCUUUCUCUUUUUCAUUAAUUUUCGUGACUUUUUUUCCUUUGUUUCUAGGAAAAUGCUUGUAGUACAUCACUUGAACAUCAUUGUCCUUAUCUCCAUAAUUCUUUGGUGAAAAAAAAAAUCAUUUUGCAUGGUAUAAAGAAACAGGUAGAUUAUUUUGGUGUAAAAAAUACCCAAAUUUCAGUCUCUGAACAAGAAACAACCCCAAAGACAAUGAGAAAGACUGACUGUAUGUGACCCAGGAAGGGCAUGGUGGCUGUGAUGCAGAUGGGAUCUACAAUGGGAGUGCUGUAUGAGCUCUGUGAUGUGGAAGAGGAUAUGGCCACGAUCUGAAAGGAUUGAUUCCUCCUCUUUUCUCAAAAUGAAGAGAUUGGGCACUUUCACAGUGGUGGGUCUUGAGAAGAAAUGCUCCAGGUGGCCUGCCUUGAGCAGUAGUUGGAGCAAAGGGACACAGGAGUCACUUCCAUCCCCAGUCAUUCUGUGAUUCUGUGAAGUAAGCACUUCCUUGAAGCCUAGUGCCAGAUGCCUGAAUGGCUCAGCUGGGUGUCCCAAAUCUGUUGGUGAAAUUUCACCUCCCUCUUCUCGUCCAGUGGGUUUUGUGGCCUGCAUGGAACUUCAUGCUCACCAUGGGUGGUGGCUGUCAGAGGCCUUCAGGGCAACAGACCUCAGGCCAGUGCUUUUCAUCUCAGCAUUUCCUAUAAACUGCAUGGUGGGAUCUGUGCUCAGUCUGAGCUUCAGGGAAUCUCUUCCUUACAUCUGCCCAUAUUGCAGAGUGCAGUGAAAACUGCUUGACUCCCAGAUCAGAGGCUGCAUAAACAUGUUCCCUUCACUGUUCUCCAAAUAUGGGCUCCACUGCUCCAUCACAAAUAUUAGUGCAGCUCUGUGCUGAGACAGGUCAGGGAAAUAGUCAUUGGACUAUGCUUGAGUUUAGAAUGGACUUUCUUUCCUUAGAAAAGAUCACAUUUUACCCUCUAUUUCCCUCCUCCUCAGAUGUGAAAGUGUAACUGUUUGCAGCAGAGCUGAAAAAGCAUAAUUUUGGGCUGAAUUGGGAAUGAGCGGUCAAAGAUAACAAAAGGUGGCAACCUCUUAAAUUGGCCUUGUGACAUAUUCUGGGCACCCUGUUCUGGGUGGCCCUGCUUGACAAGGAGUUGGACCAGAUGAACACAGAGGUUCCUGCCAACCUCUCUGCCAAUCUGUGGUUCUGCCAAUGUAGUAAAACUGGGUUGUGCACCAAGUUGCAAGGAGUUGUAGGCAACUGGGCCUUCAUGGCCUGCAGGCCCAGCGACUUGCAGUGUGCCCAUCCCCACUCUCCAGCAUGCCUCCACCAUGCCCCAGGAGGUAUCUGCCAGGCCGUGGGACAUGCUUGCUUGUGACAACUCUUGUGCAAUAUGGGCUGUAUCUGCUUGCUGCUGCCAGGUUGUGAAAGUCUACAAAUAAUUGUGAAGUCUGCUGGUUUAAUUGGAUUGUGGUAUAUUUGUGUAGAUGGCUGAAGUCUUCCAGGCCACUGUUUUCCAGAGUGACUUGGCAGCCCCUUGGCUCUAAGAUGCCUGAUGUGAGACACCUUAAAAGUGAUGAAUUUCCACAGAUUCUUUUAGAGAAGCACCCCUAAACUGAAGUAAUCCAAGCCACUGAUUGAUUACCCGGAAAGCUCUUGCCCCAGAGCCCUGGAGAUGAGGGAGCUUUCGUGGUAGCUGAUGUAAGCCAAACUAAACUCAUAAAAAUAAUACAAGACAUCUUAGCACAUCAUUUGUUCACUAGAAAAUUUCAGCAGAAGGCAGUGUGAAUAUGCUUGUGUGCCAGCAUUUAUACAGAAAGUAUAAUGAGUAAAUGAAUAUUUGUGUAUUAAGAGAGGGAGGAGAAGAAAAGCAUUUUAUCCAUGUGAGAGUUGGCUGUUGUUGUUCUGUUGUUUUUCUCUGUUUCUUUUUUUUUCUGUGUGUGUUUUUUUUUUUUUUUUUUUUUAAAUAAGGUACAAAAUGUUACUGUGGAGCAGUGUCCCUGUGUGCUCUGGCCCUUCUCCAGGCCUGGAGCUAAGUACCUCCUGUGGAAAAGAAACUACCAUGCUUGACUUUCUGAAGUAUAUGCUGUUAUCACUUGUUAGAGGCUAAAGAGGGGAAAUAGUUAAAUUACCUAUUACUUAAAAAGAACUGUAUAGCUGUGUAGAAACAAGCAGCCUCCAAGACUCAAGCUACAAAUGUUCAACAUUUGAAUGUACAAAAGAGUAACAGUUUAUUAGAACUAUCUUCAACUUUUUCUACCAAUAAUUUGUAGAGAGACAAGAAAGGUGGAGCAGAUAUUGUUGUUCUCAAUGGAAGAUUCUACUAAAUCACCAUUUCAAAUAAGAAACUAUUAGUAAGGAGAAAUAAAUUGAUAUUGCAAAAUGUCAUUAAUUGUACUCACAGAGGAGCUAAUAGCAACCUAAAAUCAACUCAAUUAAAUCAAAACCAUUUUCACACGUAGAAAAAAAAAAUAUGUAGCUACACAGUUUUGCUGAAAUUGUUAUUGGGAAUAUGAGCUUGGAGUUCUUCACGAUUAUGAAGAUCAGAUGUCCUAGUGCCCAAGUCACUCUUCAAAAUAGUAUUUCAGCAGUUAAUUGGUUUUGUAAAGUCAUUUAUUGAGACUUUCAUUUCUAGUAAGAUGAGUUCUUGGUACCGGUGUGUAAAGAGGAAGUCUCAAAAGGCAGAAGACGUAAAACAGAACUCUUUUGGAAGCCUCAUCACUUUCACAACCCUGAAGGAACCACGCACCUUAGAACUGUGUACUCAUUACAGCCUAGGCUCAACUAGGCACCCCAAGAUGGCUUAUUGCCAAUCAUCUUCUGGACCAUUAGGCACAGAUUUUCAAAGGUGUUUAGACACCUGAACACCUUUGAGGAGUUGGCCCUGAGUUCUCAGCUGUCUUAAUUUGUCCUGGUGGGCGUCUGACUAGCUUCUUUGAGUUGCUGAGUGUUGAGAGUUGGGCUUUCUGUUUCUAACUUGGGCUGAGCAGGCCAACCACAGCAGAAAAUAAAGGGAUCUGAUGGAAGGGUCUAGGAAGCUCUAAUGAUCUGAAGACUUGCAAGGAACUUGCAAGGAACUUGAAAGGGCUCCUACUAGCCUGAGGAGCUUUGGGGGCUUGCAGAAUCUUAUGGCUAUUCUGAAACACUGGGGUGCUGUGGGCUCAAAGAUGUGUUCAAACAUCCACAAAGCCAUGUGAGUGCUUGUGUAUACUAUAUACAUUAGAAAGAGAGAGUCUCUCUAAUAAACAAAUAACAUACAUAUAUAAAUAUUUUUAUAUAUUUUAUGGGGAGAAGGACAAAGAAGUUAUAUGAAGUUAUGCAUAGCUUUCAAGAAGUAGAGACCGCCACAAAGAGAAUAACUUUCUUUAGGACCUUAGGAGAUUUGAGGAACAGGUACUGAGUGAAACCGUGGCUUUUGCUGCUUCAAUGAUUUCCCACCUAUCCGUUGCAGACUUAGGGUAAGGGGCAACAGUUAAAAAAAAAAAAAAGAUAACAUAUAAAGUCUUUCUCUUCUGCCAGUUAUAUUUUUCUUUAUUAGAGCCUUUAGGAAGAGAAUGUCAGUUGUGUGUAUGCUCAGGGCCUGACUUGAUGGAAAACACGUGCAGCUCCCAUUUAUUUCAGUAAGAUUUGGAAAUCCUAUGUGUGUGUGCUGAAAAUCAGUUCUAAAGUGCUGUAGCAUGGCAUGAAAACACAGUUUUCAUGGCAACUAGAAGGUGAAGCUUCAUAUAAUAGGUAAAAAAAUUCUGCUGACUCUUAGUUAUUUUAUCAAGUCUUGUGAUAUGUGGUGCCUCUGUGAAUGUCACCACCUCUAAAGCAAGGUGUGUUUGUGAGUGGGAAACAUGAAAUAAAAUCUGUUUAUUUGCAAUUCUUGCAGCUGUGGCAAAGAGAUGGAAUAAGGGAUUCUUUACAAAGCUCAAGCACAGAAAUUAAGUGGAAGCCUCUUGAUGUGAUUUGAGCUAGGCUGCUGUUUCUGAGGACAAGCACAUGGAUUCUGUCUAUCGCCCCCACACUAAAGAGAAACAGUUUGAGUUUCUUGCUCUUCUCAGGGCACCACAUGAAGAUCAGGUGGUCAGUUUGUGUUCCCGAACUGUCAAUGGCCAGAGUGCAUGCUUCAGCCUGGCUUCUCACAGUAUCAGCUAUCCUUCAUCCUUGCCACUCAGUAAAGGUAUUAUAUAUAUAUAUAUAUUAACUACAAUACAUUAAUGGCAAUGCUGACUUUGUCCUGAGCAGAAGUUGUUCUGAAAACUAGAGAUAACAAGGUGACAAACCUUUCAUAAUGGUGCCUUCAGGUACUUGUCUUUGAGCAGAAGUCCCAGUUUAGUGCUGGCAGCCAGCACAAAGGAAGUAAUAAGACAGCUAUCAAGUCAAUAACCACAGCAGGUUAGGCCUCUACAAUGAGAAAUGUUGAACUCCUAGAGAGCUGGGAGAAGAGAAAGAAUCUUUUUGAACCUGUUGUGCAGAUUGCUUAUGAGAGAGUCAUCAUAAAGGAAAUUAUUUUUUCUAAGCAGUACUCCCAAAACUGUGGUUCCAGUGUGGGGUAUCUGAUAUGACAAGGUCCUUUUUUCUUUUAUCUUGAAGUGCCUGCCACCUGCCUUACACAAAUUUUCAUUUUGCCAGAGUCUUGCAGAAUCCACUUACUGUCUUUCUCUGUGACAACACUGUGCUGUUGUACAUUAAUGGCUUUUGCACGUUGGGGCUGUACAAUUUGCUUGCUAGGAUUACUAACAUCAACAAUAUGUGAUAAGCUUGAAAAGUAAUCAGCACUUUUAUAUUUGUAAUUACCAUAGCAUCUAGAGACCUUGAUUGAGAUUGAAGUUCCCCUGUACCAGGAACAGAGCAUUAGCAGCAGCUUAAAGUCUAAGCAAACAGAAAAAGCAGGAGGGGAGAAAAACAGGUGAGAGGAGCUGCUGCAGUGUGCAUAACCUGACCCAGGAAAGUCAGAAUCAGAACACAGAUCCAAAGUCCUGAUUAUGAUCAGUGACUUAAUGUCACCAUUUUGCCAUGUGAGAUGGGUCAACUCCCUUAGAGGAUUUAGAAAGUACUCAGACCAGUUCCUCUGUUUGUUUAUAUGAAGAUGUUUGUAGACCUCUUGAUCCUAAGGCAAUUGAUAGUCCAUGAGAGGAGGAGGGGGGAUGUUGGGCUAGAAUCUCAUGUAAAUGGCACUCAGAAUGCCUAAAAAUUGUUACAGGGUUGGGUUUUUUUUGUUUUGUUUUGAGUGGCCUCUUUGUGGUCAGUUGUAAGCAUCACAUUUACAUAGUUCUGUAUUUCUAAAAAAGCCUAUUGCAUAAAGUUGGGACUACACCAAGUGAAAACAAAACAUGCUAAGAAAAAAUAGCAAGCUCUUCCAACAAUGUUCAGUAACUGAGCUAGAGGUUAGUGCUGUAUUCUGGAGAAAAAAAAAAAAAAGAAAGAAAGAAAGAAAAAGAAAAAGAAAAAAGAAAAAAAAAAAAAAAAGAAUCCCAGCACCAUAUGAUUUCAUGCACAAAAAACUUUAAACAUUUUGGAGGAACAUAACAUAUGACAUAGGGUGUUUUUAUUUAACGGAUGGCUUUAAAAAAUGGGGCCAGUGUCCCCUCUCAUAGAUGAACAUGGUGUGCCAGGAGAGUUGCUGUACAAUGUGUCAUCACUUGGGAACCUGAAGAAUUGUACUUGAGAAAACAUUGCUACAAAAUAUCAUCCCCUUCCCAGAAAGGUUCACUUCAGGCUUUGUAGAAAAACAGAACAACUCAUUUCCUCUGAAUAUAAUUCAUCUGUUGAGAAACUUUCUUAAAGGCAUAGGUAGCUGAGCAAGUAGCUGGAAAACUGUUGAACCUUGCAGUAGCAAAUAAUAGCCCAUCAUUAUUAUUACUACUUAGCUCUUGCUGAGCACUUUCCAUCCUCAGAGCACUUUACAGAUAUGAAGCAGGUAAUAUUCCAAGCACCUGAGAGGUGCUAAGUGCUACUGCCUCUCUGUAGCAGGGGUGCAGGGGUGCUGCCCCUCACCAGGACGGACUCCCCAGAGUAUGAGCUGCUGUUGGCCAGCCUGAGGUACAGCUGUUGUGGAGAUAAUAUUCUUUAGUUUCGACGUGGGUCUAGAGGGCUUUGCCCAAUUAUUACCUCAGAGUAUUUUAUAUGAUUGGCGUGGCAAGUGGGGGUAGAAAAGAAGGGAAAGAAGGGCAAAAGAAGAAAUGAAAGCUAGGGGGCUCUUUAGCUGUCAUGAGAAGCCUCCAGUUAAGAUUCUCCUGUGAGCAAUUUGCUGUUUGAGCAAAAUGAUAAGCAAUAGGUGAGGUAUAUAUGGAGAUACACUGGUUUGCAAAUACUUCUGUUCAUAUGGUGUGUUUUGUUUGGAGAAAUUAAGCCAGUAUAGAGAAAGAAAGUGUUUUACCAAUUUAAACUUCAUCUCCACAGCACUACUGCUCGCUGGGAUAGCUAAAUACAAGAGUGUACACGGACAGUCUCUUGGAAGAGCCCGUUGCCCAGAGGGGAGCAUCGUUGCUUCCUUCAGGACGCUGCCAGACUCACCUGCCUCGGGAGCAGCUCAAUUCCAUCGCCCUGUACCCGGGGGUUGCGGGGAGCCGGGCACGCCGGGCCGAUCUCUGUCCUUAGGCUCCCUCUAGAGUUGACACAGGCCUUGCAAAGCCUUCGGCUCGGCCCGGCCACGGCCUCUCGGGGCGCUGCGGCUGCGGCUGCGGGGAGCAGUCCCCGAAGCUUCGGCUCAGUCCUUAGGGCCUGCGCCUCCAGCCCCGAACCUCCCGAGAAGUUACGGGUGUGCCGGGAAAAACGGAGAUUGUUAGGGAAACAGGGAGAGCUGAGGGAGGUAAGAACUUCUGGCUUUCCAAUGGGUCAUGCCUUGGCCCUGCCUUCUUCACCUCAGUGCAGGAGGAUGCACUCCGUGGAGCAGGCCAGGCCUUAUUCUCGAUUUGUAAGGGAACACUGAAAACCUUACUCCCAGCUGUAUAUUGAAUAGCCCGGGUAACCCCCACCCUCUGUGUUUAUGGCUCAGACAGUCACGCUGCUCCACUUGCCAACUGUAUUAAGCGCCGGGGAGGAGCUCCCCACAAACCCUUCUCCCCGCCCGGCUGCCGUGUCUAUCUUUUGCAAGGCGGUGGCGCUCUCGUCUUGCCACAUUUCUCCUCCAGGACCCAAUAGUAUUUUUUUUUAUUUUAUUUUUUAUUUUUUUUUCCUUCACGCUUCGCUGCUUACUACGGGCAGGCGCGCCUGCCUCUCUCACCAUUUGCUAUGGC
rnacentral:lncRNA from 1 species